UACAUUGAUUAAAAUACCUAUAAAAACA
rnacentral:sRNA from 1 species